UCCAACNGGGAGGGGUGCUAUAGGCCCNUAUGGCAUGAUUCUAGUUAAUCGUNUGAGUACAUUUAAGUCCGUNAAGUGGAUCACUGCAGGGCAGUNAUGUGNCAUCAACUACGUAAUUCAAGUCCAUAGUGUAUAUAAAGUUGUGCAGUUAAAAGCUCGUAGUUGGCCUANCCCUGACAGGCGUUCGCCUCACGUGCGUAUGUCGACUGUGUNUUCCUCUCGUGAUCUGUGUUUCGGCAGCAGGGAUCCAGGACCUGUACUUAGUAGAAAUUAGAGUGCUCACAGCAGGCUUGAAUCCGGAAUCUAGUAACAAGGGAUUAUGAUAUAGGAUGUACUGUUCUAGUCUGUUGGUCCUUGGAAUCGCCGUAAUGAUUACUAGGGACAGUCGGGGGCAUUAGUACUCACAUGCUAGAGGUGAAAUUCGUGGAUUUUGUGAAGACUAACUUAUGCGAAAGCAUUUACCAAGGACGUUUUCAUUAAUCAAGAACGAAGGUUAGGGUAUCGAAAACGAUUAGAUACCGUUGUAGUCUUAACAGUAACCUACGCCGAAUCGGGAUCGGUAGAUGUAAUGUCUUUUACUCGAUCGGCACGUUACGAGAAAUCAAAGUUUUCGGGUUGAGGGGGGAGUAUGGUCGCAAGGCUGAAAGUUAAAGAAAUAGGCGGACCGCCACCACCAGGACUGGAGCCUGCGUCUUAAUUUGAUUCAACACGGGCACCCUCCCCAGGUCCAGACAUAGUAAGCAGUGACAGAUUUAUAUCUCUUUCCAGAGUGUAUGGGUGGUGGCUCAUGGCCGUUCGUAGGAGGAGGAGUGAUUUGUAUGGUUAAUUCCGAUAAGCGAACGAGACCUUAACCUGGUAAAUAGCCCCAUCGACUAUGGUUGGUGGUUGUCUUAGUAGAGGGACUAGUGGCUUCCAGCCAAGGGAAGUUGCAGGCAAUAACAGGUGUGUGAUGCCCUUAGAUGUUGUGGGCACGCAGCGCGCGCAUACNACUGACGGAGCCAACGAGUACUUUCCNGUCCGGAAGGAGCGGGGUAAUCUUGUGAAACUAGACUCGUGCUGGGGAUAGAGCAUUGCAAUUAUUGCUCUUCAACGAGGAAUUCCCUUAGAUUGGGANCUGGG
rnacentral:rRNA from 1 species